CUCUGACUUCCUGUUUUUUUGUUGUUUUUUUUGUUGUACAUUAACACUUUGUAAAAUAAUAAGCCACAGGAAAUGAGUUCUAAAGUGUCUGAUGAAAGGAGCUAAGCAACAGCGAGCGCGCCACUGACACGAACAAACAUUGUAGGGUUCUUUGCCGGAUGGUUUCGUUACUUCUUGUUCUUCGUCUGGGUUUUGGACAUUGUACUGAUUUGGAUUGUAACAUACCUGGACAUUUAUUUGAUCAGAAGAAUCAGAAAUUUCUGUCACAUCUAUAGCUGCCACCCUCCCAGGCUUCAUUUCCAAAAAAAUACGCAGCCUUAGUACGUGACGACUUAGAGACUCCGCCACCAUGAGACGUCCCGAUGAAAGUCUCACUCCGAGCAUUGCUCUAAUGAUGACUUCAAGUUUUAUGUUUAUUGGACUGCUUCUCUUGUUUGACUUCUUUUUGUUUGAUUACUUUAUCAUUCGGUCUAUCUGUUGUUUGCUUGCUGUUCGCCUGACUACAUUAUCGAUUGUUCCUUUUGUUUUGGUGGUUUUUUUGGGGUCUGAUGAUGGUCUCUUAAUAAAGCCCUGUAUUUGCAUCUGAACGUGUGCAGACUUUCUGACAGUCUCAGACUGAUGGCUGUCAUUAAACCACAAUGACUAUAAAUAAAGUGAGGCCUUGGUAGGUGAAAAGAGGGUUGUGCGCUACUCACCUGAAGCGAG
ensembl:lncRNA